rnacentral:rRNA from 1 species
UGCGGAGGGAGCUAGCGUUGUUCGGAAUUACUGGGCGUAAAGCGCACGUAGGCGGCUUUGUAAGUUAGAGGUGAAAGCCUGGGGCUCAACUCCAGAAUUGCCUUUAAGACUGCAUCGCUUGAAUCAUGGAGAGGCGAGUGGAAUUCCGAGUGUAGAGGUGAAAUUCGUAGAUAUUCGGAAGAACACCAGUGGCGAAGGCGGCUCGCUGGACAUGUAUUGACGCUGAGGUGCGAAAGCGUGGGGAGCAAACAGGG